CGCUCAGGUGGCUUAGUGGUUAGAGUAUCUGCUUCAGAUGGAGGAAAAUGUGGGUUAGAUCCCCGGUCGAGUCA